GAGGGAUCAUUACCGAGUUUACAACUCCCAAACCCCUGUGAACAUACCACUUGUUGCCUCGGCGGAUCAGCCCGCUCCCGGUAAAACGGGACGGCCCGCCAGAGGACCCCUAAACUCUGUUUCUAUAUGUAACUUCUGAGUAAAACCAUAAAUAAAUCAAAACUUUCAACAACGGAUCUCUUGGUUCUGGCAUCGAUGAAGAACGCAGCAAAAUGCGAUAAGUAAUGUGAAUUGCAGAAUUCAGUGAAUCAUCGAAUCUUUGAACGCACAUUGCGCCCGCCAGUAUUCUGGCGGGCAUGCCUGUUCGAGCGUCAUUUCAACCCUCAAGCACAGCUUGGUGUUGGGACUCGCGUUAAUUCGCGUUCCCCAAAUUGAUUGGCGGUCACGUCGAGCUUCCAUAGCGUAGUAGUAAAACCCUCGUUACUGGUAAUCGUCGCGGCCACGCCGUUAAACCCCAACUUCUGAAUGUUGACCUCGGAUCAGGUAGGAAUACCCGCUGAACUUAAGCAUAUCAAUAAGCGGAGGAA
rnacentral:misc_RNA from 1 species